GGGGGGGGGGGGGGGCGGGGCGGGCGGGGGGGGGGCGGGCGGAGGAGGGGGGCUGGCGGCUGGAUUCAGGGGCGGACGGGGGAGUCAUGCCUAGGGAUCUGCCUGUGAGUGGGGGAGAACGGACGGGAGCGGGCGCUAAUGCCGCCUCCGUCCGUAUGGCGAAAUUUGGGGAUCUUCGGACCUCACGCUAACAGAUGAGCAUAGGUCGGAUGCGCUAGUUGGUGCGUUAAAGGCCUACCAAGGCUACGAUCCGUAACUGGUCUGACAGGAUGAUCAGUCACACUGGAACUGAGACACGGUCCAGACUACUACGGGAGGCAGCAGGGGGGAAUAUUGGACAAUGGGCGAAAGCCUGAUCCAGCCAUGCCGCGUGUGUGAAGAAGGUCUUCGGAUUGUAAAGCACUUUAAGUUGGGAGGAAGGGAAGUAAGUUAAUCCCUUGCUGUUUUGACGUUACCAACAGAAUAAGCACCGGCUAACUUCGUG
rnacentral:rRNA from 1 species